rnacentral:lncRNA from 1 species
CAACACCAUCCUUUAUAAAAAGCCACAAGAACAAACAUUUCAUUCUUUCACUGGGGCUGAAGUUAGUGCACAUGCGAGAUUUCUUUCCCUGGACUUACUGUAUUGGACUGGCUCAACUACAACAUGGGAUCAAGGAUGUUUUUUCUGUUGGUUCUUGCACUGCUUGUAUUCACUGAUCACAGCCACGGUGUUCCUGAGACACAUGCACAAUCAUUGUCUGUCAGCAAAUUCACCGAUGCCUCUGCUGUUGGAGAACCACUGACCACUGCAAAUCCAGUCAACAUCCCAAGACAGCACACCAGACUGUGUCACUGUGAAGGAAAGGGAAGAGAGAUGGGAAAUAAACGCUGUGUUUGUAAGCAAUCUGGCAGGCGCGACGUCAAGUAUGGAAAAUUGAAAACAUUGUGCCAGAGGAAAACAAAUAAGUAUCUGAAAAGGUGCAGCCGGUUUUCCAAAAGAAGAAGAGAAGAAAAAGAGAAGAAGGGUGGUAACCCCAUGAAGUAUGCUCCCAGUGUCCCUAUAUGA